GACAGAGGUGCCAAGCGUUAGGCGGAAUCACUGGGCUUAAAGCGUGUGUAGGCGGGUCGUUAAGUACCUUGUGAAAUCCCACGGCUCAACCGUGGAACUGCUCGGUAUACUGGCGAUCUUGGGCCACUUAGGGGCUAGCGGAACAAACGGUGGAGCGGUGAAAUGCGUAGAUAUCGAGAGGAACACCUGCGGCGAAGGCGGGUUGCUGGGCUGACACUGACGCUGAGGCGCGAAAGCCAGGGGAGCGAACGGG
rnacentral:rRNA from 1 species